GGUAAUACUUGUUCGAAUCUUAAAAGAAUAAAACUUUGUAUAUUUAACCUGAGAAUCUUUAUCUCCUCUUUCUUAGGUGAAAAUUAUCUGAACUUUUAAAAAAUCCUUUAGUUCUAAUAGAAUUGCCUGCAGACCAAUUAUAAUAUAUAUGAAUUGUGAAUUUAAAAUUUUAAAAUCAAGGCAUAGUAUUAUAGAGUAUUAUAGGGUAUCAUAUAAAUUGAUUUUAUAAUUAGUACUUCUUAAACAGGGCCAAGGCCUGUUCUCCUCCCCCAACCCCCCUCACUGGUCCAUUUAAUAAAGUAUUUGCAUAUGCUUAGCUCUCAGAAGAUUCAGUACAUGAAGAUCUUAUCCUAAAAGUUGCAAUGGGUGAGUUCAGAGGCCUAAAAGAUGUUAUGCCAGUGCUAACUGGGAUAUGUGAAACUUUUUGCCUCUUAG
rnacentral:lncRNA from 1 species